rnacentral:rRNA from 1 species
CACGGGGGGAGCAAGCGUUGUUCGGAAUCACUGGGCGUAAAGGGCGUGUAGGCGGUUCAGUAAGUGGAAUGUGAAAUGCCCCGGCUCACCCGGGACCGGCAUCCCAAACUGCUGAGCUUGAGUAUGGGAGAGGAUGUGGGAAUUCCUGGUGUAGCGGUGAAAUGCGCAGAUAUCAGGAAGAACACCCGUGGCUAAGGCGGUUCUCUAGUACGGUACUGACGCUGAGACGCGAAAGCGUGGGGAGCGAACAGG